CAUGCAAGUCGAACGGAGAUAUUUAGAAGCUUGCUUUUGGAUAUCUUAGUGGCGGACGGGCGAGUAACGCGUGAGCAACCUGUCCUUCAGAGGGGGACAACGGCUGGAAACGGCCGCUAAUACCGCAUGACAUAUCCGGAUGGCAUCGUCUGGAUAUCAAAGGAGAAAUCCGCUGAAGGGUGGGCUCGCGUCCGAUUAGCUAGUUGGCAGGGUAACGGCCUACCAAGGCGACGAUCGGUAGCCGAACUGAGAGGUUGAUCGGCCGCAUUGGGACUGAGACACGGCCCAGACUCCUACGGGAGGCAGCAGUGAGGGAUAUUGGGCAAUGGGGGAAACCCUGACCCAGCAACGCCGCGUGAGGGAAGAAGGUCUUCGGAUUGUAAACCUAAGUAGUCAGGGACGAAGAAAUGACGGUACCUGAAGAGUAAGCUCCGGCUAACUACGUGCCAGCAGCCGCGGUAAUACGUAGGGAGCGAGCGUUGUCCGGAUUUACUGGGUGUAAAGGGUGCGUAGGCGGGCUGUCAAGUCAGAUGUGAAAUACCGGGGCUCAACUCCGGGGCUGCAUUUGAAACUGAUGGUCUUGAGUGAAGUAGAGGCAGGCGGAAUUCCUAGUGUAGCGGUGAAAUGCGUAGAUAUUAGGAGGAACACCAGUGGCGAAGGCGGCCUGCUGGGCUUUAACUGACGCUGAGGCACGAAAGCAUGGGGAGCAAACAGGAUUAGAUACCCUGGUAGUCCAUGCUGUAAACGAUGAUAGCUAGGUGUGGGAGGACUGACCCCUACCGUGCCGGAGUAAACACAAUAAGCUAUCCACCUGGGG
rnacentral:rRNA from 1 species